rnacentral:lncRNA from 1 species
AUUGAAAGCCAACAAGCCCGUAGACAGAUGAAACAGACCCAGACUUCAGAUAAUGAGCUAAGCAUACAUCAUUUACAAAAGAACUCUCAGGCUUAGAUAUUUUAGUAAUUAUGUAUAAAGAAGCAAAACACAGGUUUAUAUGUUUAUCAGAGUUAGGAAGGGCAGACUUUCCACCCUUAUCCAGGCAGCUUUUGUUUAUCAUGUUAUUAGUUCAGCCUUAUGUUUCACAGAUGUUGUUCCUGCUGGAGCGACUGGUUUGGCAGUUUCCCUCCUAUUCCCAGAACAUUCAAGAUAAAAUUGCAUGUCUUCUGGUUUUCAAUGCAACUGUUGAUAAAUCAGCUCUCUGCCUAAUGUUGUUUUUUGGAAAGCUCCUCUCCUGAAGGCAUCUAAUCACAGAAAGCAAAGGUGGAUGCUAGCCUGAGAGACUAACCUGCCCAAAGGACUACUGAAAUGAGAAAUCACUUUUUUAAGUACACAAGGGGCCAAAUCUAUGGAGAAACUGACCAAAAAUAGAGAAGAGAGUACUCUCCAGAACUCCAUUUCUCAAUUAAAUUUUUUAUAUACCUGGUACUUGAAUCAUUUCUUCCAAAUUAAAAAUUAGAAACUACUCCCAAAGUCUCAUCUACGUCAUCUGUCAGACAUCUCCCUUGAUGAGGCUCCUGGCAGUCAUUGCCAAGUUAAUUGUACAAAAGCGGGGUGGUUGUUCCGUGAGUCCUGGGAAUCAACACUUGAGACUGAGGCUAAGAAGAAAGGACACAGCUGGUCUGGUUCCUCCCUGGCAUAGCUCCCAGAUCUGAAGGACAAAGUUCAAAUAGCUACAAUUCUGGGCAAAGUUGCAAUGUUUGUCAUUAAGGAGCUGUAUCUACACAUCCUUACAGGGUUCCAGAGAGACACAGAAUUGAAGACAAAAGCUACAAUAAACAAUUACCAUCCAUGAGGAAGUCCUACUUACAGACUAAAUGAACAUCUCUGGAUCAGGAUCCCAUUCUGAGUCAGUGAGUGAAUUCAUCCUUCUGGGUUUUCCCUGCAGCAAGAAGAUUCAGGUCGUCCUGUUUAUAUUGUUCUCUGUCAUCUACUUCCUGACUCUUAUGGGAAACGGAGCCAUUAUCUGUGCUGUGUGUUGGAACCAGCAUCUCCA